AAAUUACCCACUCCCGGCACGGGGAGGUAGUGACAAAAAAUAACGAUACGGGACUCUAUUGAGGCCCCGUAAUCGGAAUGAGUACACUUUAAAUCCUUUAACAAGGAUCCAUUGGAGGGCAAGUCUGGUGCCAGCAGCCGCGGUAAUUCCAGCUCCAAUAGCGUAUAUUAAAGUUGUUGCGGUUAAAAAGCUCGUAGUUGGUUCUGCGUGCCACGCUGUCGGUUCGCCGCCUGUCGGUGUAACUGGCAUGUCGUGGCAUGUCCUGUCGGUGGUGAACGGGGUCCCAGGUACGAUGUAGGCUUUUAUAGCUGAAAUCUGUACCGUGUGUGUUUCCGUUUGCCGAUCUCUCCUACUCCGGUGCUCUUAAACGAGUGUCGAGGUAGGCCGACACGUUCACUUUGAACAAAUUAGAGUGCUUAAAGCAGGCUAAAAUAUCUGCCUGAAUAGUGGUGCAUGGAAUGAUAAAACAGGACCUCAGUUCUAUUUUGUUGGUUUUAGGAAUAUGAGGUAAUGAUCAAUGUGGACUGGCGGGGGCAUUCGUAUUGCGACGUUAGAGGUGAAAUUCUUGGAUCGUCGCAAGACGCACUAGAGCGAAAGCAUUUGCCAAGUAUGUCUUAAUUGAUCAAGAACGAAAGUUAGAGGUUCGAAGGCGAUCAGAUACCGCCCUAGUUCUAACCAUAAACGAUGCCAGCCAGCGAUCCGCCGAUGUUCCUUUAAUGACUCGGCGGGGAGCUUCUACUCGGGAAACCAAAGCUUUUGGGUUCCGGGGGAAGUAUGGUUGCAAAGCUGAAACUUAAAGGAAUUGACGGAAGGGCACCACCAGGAGUGGAGCCUGCGGCUUAAUUUGACUCAACACGGGAAACCUCA
rnacentral:rRNA from 1 species